UACGGAAGAUCCGAGCGUUAUCCGGAAUUACUGGGCGUAAAGAGUUGCGUAGGUGGCAGGUAAAGCGAGCAGUGAAAGCCCCCGGCUCAACUGGGGAGGGUCACGCGAUACUGUUCGACUCGAAGGCAGGAGAGGGAAGCGGAAUUCCCGGUGUAGUGGUGAAAUGCGUAGAUAUCUGGAGGAACACCGGUGGCGAAGGCGGCAUCCUGGACCGACACUGACGCUGAGGAGCGAAAGCCAGGGGAGCAAACGGG
rnacentral:rRNA from 1 species